rnacentral:tRNA from 1 species
UAUAUUUUGGUGUAAGAUGCACGGAAACUUUUGAUGUUUAAGGAAUACAGUUUAAUUCUGUUAAAUGUAG